rnacentral:rRNA from 1 species
CCCGGGUUUGGGUUAGUUUCGCAUUUUUGAUGGAAUUUCACUGGCACAUUUAAAAAUGAUGUAAACCCGCUUAGUAAGGGAGAGGGUCAUUGGAAACUGGAAAACUUGAGUGCCUUUUAGAAGUGGAAUUCCAUGUGUAGCGGUGAAAUGCGCAGAGAUAUGGAGGAACACCAGUGGCGAAGGCGACUUUCUGGUCUGCAACUGACGCUGAUGUGCGAAAGCGUGGGGAUCAAACGGGAUUAGAUACCCUGGUAGUCCACGCCGUAAACGAUGAGUGCUAAGUGUUAGGGGGUUUCCGCCCCUUAGUGCUGCAGCUAACGCAUUAAGCACUCCGCCUGGGGAGUACGACCGCAAGGUUGAAACUCAAAGGAUUUGACGGGGACCCGCACAAGCGGUGGAGCAUGUGGUUUAAUUCGAAGCAACGCGAAGAACCUUUACCCAAAUCUUUGACAUUCCUUUUGACAACUCCUAGAGAUAGAGCUUUUCCCCCCUUCGGGGGACAAAAGUGGACAGGGUGGUGCCAGGGUUUGUCGUUCAGCUCGUGUCGUGAGAUUGUUGGGUUUAAGUUCCCGCAACAAGCCGCAACCCCUUUAAGGCUUUAGUUUGCCAUUCUUUAAAGUUUGGGGCACCUCUUAGUUUGAACUGCCCGUGACCAAACCGGAAGGAAGGGUGGGGGUAUGAACUUAAAAUCAUCAUUGCCCCUUUAUGGAAUUUGGGGCAUACCCCCGUUGCUUACAAUUGAACCAAUUACAAAUGGGGUUACCCGUAACUCCCCGAAGGUCCAAGCCCAAUCCCCUAUUAUAGGUUUUGUUUCCCCCAGUUUCCGGGAAUUGGUAAUCCUGCUACCUCCGAAUCUACCCUUGAGAGCUUGGAUAAUCCCUAUAGUUAAUCCUGUGAAAUAUCUACGCCUCAGUUUCUUACUGCGGUGUGAAAUUACCUGCUCUCCCUCGAGGGUCUCCUGUGGUAAACAGACAUCGGGAUACUGUGAUUGACACAUCCUCAAUGCAAUAGAUAAUGAUG